CCCUACAUAAACACAUACAUGGGCGCAGACAUUUUGGACACCCAAAGUUGUGCGGAGGAGAAAAUGCUACCUGGCGCGUGAUUGGUCAAUAAGAGAAAAGACUUGUUAUGUAUUUGACAAGUGAAAUAAAGCUGAUAAAAAUGUAAUAUCAAGACUUGGGUUUCUUUGAGAUAUGUAGGAGUUACAGGUAAAAAUUUGAAAGGAGGGGUGCUCUUUGGUUAGAGAUUUUCAUUUGGUGUCAAACGCACCUUGUUGUAAACAAAUGGAAAUUGAAAGUAAAAGUGCCGCGUGACGGUAUAUUUUUUCUGUCAUGUUUUCUUUUCCAAUAUCUCGAACUUUCACGACAAAAAGGCCAUUUGCCCGAAAUUCAAUAUAUGUAUGAGUGACAGGGGCUCAAGUUUGUAUGGAAGUCUAUGGGAAAACAUUUAGUGGUGUUUGUCCUAUAGAAUAGGUAUCGAUGCAUUCUCAAGAAGGAGGAGAUUAAUGAACCCUCCCCUCUUACAAUGAACAACACAUGGACACUCUCAGGAUGGUCCCUUUGCUUUCAUUAAGAGUUCCAAGAUGAGGGUCUGAUUGACUGGGGUGUGAGAUGUAACAGCCAAUGGUGUACUUAAACUAAGACUGUCAGUCCCAAUAUUCAAGAGGAAAAACCCCUACAUAAACAAAUACAUGGGCGCAGACAUUUUGGACACCCAAAGUUGUGCGGAGGAGAAAAUGCUACCUGGCGCGUGAUUGGUCAAUAAGAGAAAAGACUUGUUAUGUAUUUGACAAGUGAAAUAAAGCUGAUAAAAAUGUAAUAUCAAGACUUGGGUUUCUUUGAGAUAUGUAGGAGUUACAGGUAAAAAUUUGAAAGGAGGGGUGCUCUUUGGUUAGAGAUUUUCAUUUGGUGUCAAACGCACCUUGUUGUAAACAAAUGGAAAUUGAAAGUAAAAGUGCCGCGUGACGGUAUAUUUUUUCUGUCAUGUUUUCUUUUCCAAUAUCUCGAACUUUCACGACAAAAAGGCCAU